rnacentral:rRNA from 1 species
GAUGAACGCUAGCGGGAGGCCUAACACAUGCAAGCCGAGCGGUAGAGUUUCUUCGGAAACUUGAGAGCGGCGCACGGGUGCGUAACACGUGUGCAACCUACCUUUAUCUGGGCUCUAGCCUUUCGAAAGGAAGAUUAAUACCCCAUAAUAUAAUUAUUGGCAUCAAUUAUUAUUGAAAACUCCGGUGGAUAGAGAUGGGCACGCGCAAGAUUAGAUAGUUGGUGAGGUAACGGCUCACCAAGUCAAUGAUCUUUAGGGGUCCUGAGAGGGAGAUACCCCACACUGGUACUGAGACAAGGAACAGAAUAAUACGGGAGGCAGCAGUGAGGAAUAUAGGACAAUGGGUGAGAGCCUGAUAAAGCCAACCCGCGUGAAGGAUGACGGUGCUAUGGAUAGUAAACUUCUUUUGUACAGGGAUAAACCUAGCCUCGUGAGGGUAGCUGAAGGUACUGAACGAAUAAGCACCGGCUAACUCCGUG